CGAGCCGGGCGGACGGCCGCGUGAAGACCCCUUCGGGGGCCCUUCCCGAGGAACGUCCGGGCUCCACAGGGCAAGGUGGUGGCUAACGGCCACCCGGGGUGACCCGCGGGACAGUGCCACAGAAAGCAGACCGCCCAGCUUGCUGGGUAAGGGUGAAACGGUGGUGUAAGAGACCACCAGCGCCUGAGGUGACUCAGGCGGCUAGGUAAACCCCACCUGGAGCAAGGUCAAGAGGAAGCACCCCGGUGCUUCUGCGCGGACGACCGAGGGCUGCCCGCCCGAGUCCGCGGGUAGACCGCACGAGGCCGGCGGCAACGCCGGCCCUAGAUGGAUGGCCGUCUCCCCGGCCGCCGCGAGGCGCCCGGGCGACAGAACCCGGCGUACAGCCCGACUCGUCUG
rnacentral:RNase_P_RNA from 1 species